AUUGAACGCUGGCGGCAUGCCUUACACAUGCAAGUCGAACGGUAACGGGCCUUCGGGUGCCGACGAGUGGCGAACGGGUGAGUAAUACAUCGGAACGUGCCCGAUCGUGGGGGAUAACGAGGCGAAAGCUUUGCUAAUACCGCAUACGAUCUACGGAUGAAAGCAGGGGACCGCAAGGCCUUGCGCGGACGGAGCGGCCGAUGGCAGAUUAGGGAGUUGGUGGGAGAAAAGCUUACCAAGCCGACGAUCUGUAGCUGGUCUGAGAGGAUGAUCAGCCACACUGGGACUGAGACACGGCCCAGACUCCUACGGGAGGCAGCAGUGGGGAAUUUUGGACAAUGGGCGCAAGCCUGAUCCAGCCAUGCCGCGUGCAGGAUGAAGGCCUUCGGGUUGUAAACUGCUUUUGUACGGAACGAAAAGCCUUCUUUUAAUACAGGAGGGUCAUGACGGUACCGUAAGAAUAAGCACCGGCUAACUACGUG
rnacentral:rRNA from 1 species